rnacentral:rRNA from 1 species
UACGAAGGGUACAAGCGUUACUCGGAAUUACUGGGCGUAAAGCGUGCGUAGGUGGUGAGUUAAGUCUGUCGUGAAAGCCCCGGGCUCAACCUGGGAAUGGCGAUGGAUACUGGCUCGCUAGAGUCCGGAAGAGGAGAGUGGAAUUCCCGGUGUAGCGGUGAAAUGCGCAGAUAUCGGGAAGAACACCCGUGGCUAAGGCGGCUCUCUAGUACGGUACUGACGCUGAGACGCGAAAGCGUGGGGAGCGAACAGG